UUAAGGCUGGUUUGCUUGCAAAGCCGAGGGAUUAUAAAUCUGACCUCAACAACGUCAAGAGUGAGCUCAAGAGGAUAUCUGCGCCCAAUGCCAGGCAGGCUACCCGGGAGGAGCUCCUGGAGUCUGGAAUGGCUGAUACUCUCGCAGUGAGCUAAUGCUAGGACUUGACUGUGUCUACGAGACUGCUCCUAACAAUAAACUGAAGAAAGCAAAAGAAAUCAUUCAACGUAUUCGCCGAAGAGAACUCUACAAGAUAUGGUAGUCCUGGGAGGAAGAGCCAUCGCCGCUAUGUAUGGCAGAACCACCCGCGAAAGCAACCUCUCUGGUCUCGCGUAGCCAGAGCAGGAGCAGCUCGCUUG